rnacentral:lncRNA from 1 species
AUGAUACAAAUAUUACAAGUAAAAAAACAAAAAAACGACAGCUUUAUCAAUAACAGUUACAGUAGCAACAAUAGCUACAGUAGCAAUAAUAAUUACACUAGCAAUAAUAAGUGCAGUAACAACAAUAGCUACAGUAUUUUUUUAUUUUAUUUUUUAACUCCUUUAUAAUGUUUUUUGUAUACAUAUGUAUUUAUACAUAUAUUUUUUAAUUAUUUAAAGGAAAACAAUGAAAUUAUAUUAUGUGUGGGUAAUAGUCUUAACUGCUGUAAUUUUAAAAUUUUUAAAAUGUGUGACUAUUCUGUGUCAGUGUUGUUACCACUUACUAAUAUAUGUAAAGAUUGCUAUGGUAAAAAAGAAAAAACAAAUCCAUUUGAAGAUAAUACUACCAAUAAAAAUAUGUUAAUUACAUAUUCUUCGACCGUUAAUAGCUUACCAUGUAAAUUGACAAUUGAAAAAAGUUCUAUAGAUUUAUCACAGAACAUACUAGAGCUAGUCUAUAAAUUAUUAAAAGGGUCAAGGAUAUAUAAAAAAAACAUAUCCUUAGCAUUGUUUUAUUUUCACUUUUUUUAUUCCUAUCUUUCUUUUUUUUUAUUUAUUAUUGCCAUUUGUUUCUUGCCACCUAUUAUAGCGGUAAUAGGAAAAGAAAAAGCAAAAAAUGACAUCAUACGAUGUUUAAUAUGUAUGUGUGUAUAUAGCUAAAUACAUGCUUACGUACUUGUUACCAUUAUCAUUAUUGCUAUUACAAUUUUUAUUUUAUUUUUAUGUUUGUAGGUUGUUGAUUAUUUAUUGUUUAUUUUUAUAAUAAUACCAGUACUUUCGGUGAUCCUCUUAAACAAUAACAACAAUUCUACAAUAAUGAACGACAUUCCAGAUAAAAAUAUAAAAAAAGAUGCAGUUAUUAAGUCUUUGGUAAAAAAUAAAAAAAUAAAAAAAAUUAAAAAAAUAAAUGAA